AGGCAUUGAAGGUACUGUGAAUUUUGUAUGAGUCCAAACUGGUACAAGAUGCCCAUUCGCGCGGUCCAUGCCUGC
rnacentral:pre_miRNA from 1 species